CACAACAACAACUAGAGAAAACGUUAGAGAGAGAACUAAAGAAACUACUUCUCUGAAAUAGCCCCUCUCCUGUGUGAGUGAGAGAUGUGUUAAUAAUGGCUUUUCCUUGACCUCGUUCUGUAUGGGGAUUUCAUUCUCCUUCUACUUGGGUUCGUCGAGUCCGGUUUGCCUCUCGGUGGAGUUUCAGACCUUGCUUUGGUUCCGGUCUUGUUGUGUGACUGCUUUCUUCUAGAUUCUUGGGGUUGGCUUCCUAUGCGAACCAGGGGAUUCCAUUUUCAGGUCUUCUCUUUGCGAUGAGGUUGCCAAUAUUGGAUUCUAUCGAAUUCGUUUCCCCAAGUCAUCACUGUCAGGGUCGCCGUUUGUUUUCUCCAUCCGAAACUGAUUUGCACGAGCUUGACAGUCUGAACGAGGAAUCCUACAAAGAUACUAUAUUAAUUAUGCAACUCCUUAGGGACAAUCUGACCUUGUGGACCUCUGACAUUCCAGAAGAAGGAGUGAACUGAUAUUGUGUGCACCCGCUCUAGCUCUAGACAAACACAAACAUGUUUCAAGAACUGAAUGUACGGUGAAUAAAUAGCAAAAUGCAGAGUUCCCCUGUUUUAGUGUCAUUAUUGUGGAUGUUGUUGUAUAAUCUCUCUCUUUUGUUUGACCGUGUGAGUGUAUUGCAUCAUCCUGAUGCCCUGAGUUCACUACUGUUUUUUGCUUCACCCAUUUCUCUUUACCAUAUUUGUCUUUGUGGAUCCAAUCUUGUAUCCCUUCAUUUAUGCUUGUUUCUUCCAUCUUGUGUCUCUGGUUAAAUCAGCCACACAAAACAGCUCAAUGCAGUUUCCUUCACAGCUC